ACGGUAGCCAUCUUUGAUAAAGUAAAAUAUGCAAAUAUGGUAGCGUCCACUGUUGAGGUCAGUUGAGGUUGAGAUUCCAACUGUCGUAUGUACGUCGUAUCGAGUUAGUUGAACAAAAUUUUUACUCAUGCUACAAAAAUGGUAUCAUCGUGUACAUAUUGUGGUUCAAAACAAGGGAUCGAGGGUAGAACACAUCAUAAGUUUCCUCUGAAAGAUAAGGAAAUAUUGCAGUUAUGGUUGCAGAACAUGAAUCUCGGAUCAAAGUUUGUACCAAAGAAUCAUUCUUUAUUAUGUUCAGACCACUUUGAAAAAAAAAUGUUUUUAAGAAGGAACAAAUAAGAAAUGUUUACGCAUUGGUAGUAUUCCAACAUUAUUUGGAGAAUACAAAUCAGUUUGCGUUUAUUGC